rnacentral:rRNA from 1 species
GACAGAGGGGGCAAGCGUUGCUCGGAAUUACGGGGCGUAAAGCGCACGUAGGCGGAUCUUUAAGUCAGGGGUGAAAUCCUGGAGCUCAACUCCAGAACUGCCUUUGAUACUGGGGAUCUCGAGUCCGGAAGAGGUAAGUGGAACUCCGAGUGUAGAGGUGAAAUUCGUAGAUAUUCGGAAGAACACCAGUGGCGAAGGCGGCUUACUGGUCCGGUACUGACGCUGAGGUGCGAAAGCGUGGGGAGCAAACAGG